rnacentral:misc_RNA from 1 species
AAGUCGUAACAAGGUUUCCGUAGGUGAACCUGCGGAAGGAUCAUUAAUGAUAGACCCAAACGAUGAAACGUGAAGUACCGGGGAUACCAAAAACGCCCCGGGGGACCCCCGAUCUGCGCGUUCCCUUGCUGUCUUAGCCUUCCCCAUAAGACUAGGGGCAACCCGAAAAGACAGCAUGAAAAAACAUCCUGUGCACCUGUACUACCCCCAUUAAUGAAUAUAGUCUUAUGAUUUCUCCGAUUCUUUACCGGACCGGUUGAAUAAUAAUGUAUAAAUAA